AGAGUUUGAUCCUGGCUCAGAACGAACGCUGGCGGCAGGCUUAACACAUGCAAGUCGAACGAGUAAGAGCCGUAGCAAUACGGAGUUCUGCUAGUGGCGCACGGGUGAGUAACGCGUGGGAAUAUGCCCUUUAGUACGGAAUAACAGUUGGAAACGACUGCUAAUACCGUAUACGCCCUUCGGGGGAAAGAUUUAUCGCUAAAGGAUUAGCCCGCGUGAGAUUAGGUAGUUGGUGGGGUAAUGGCCUACCAAGCCUACGAUCUCUAGCCGGUCUGAGAGGACGAUCGGCCACACUGGAACUGAGACACGGUCCAGACUCCUACGGGAGGCAGCAGUGGGGAAUAUUGGACAAUGGGCGAAAGCCUGAUCCAGCCAUGCCGCGUGAGUGAUGAAGGCCUUAGGGUUGUAAAGCUCUUUUGUCAGGGAAGAUAUUGACGGUACCUGAAGAAUAAGCACCGGCUAACUUCGUGCCAGCAGCCGCGGUAAUACGAAGGGUGCUAGCGUUGUUCGGAAUUACUGGGCGUAAAGCGCGCGCAGGCGGUCUAUCAAGUCAGAGGUGAAAUGCCGAAGCUCAACUUCGGAACUGCCUUUGAAACUGUUAGACUAGAAUAUGGGAGGGGAUAGCGGAAUUCCUAAUGUAGAGGUGAAAUUCGUAGAUAUUAGGAGGAACACCGGUGGCGAAGGCGGCUAUCUGGCCCAUUAUUGACGCUGAGGCGCGAAAGCGUGGGGAUCAAACAGGAUUAGAUACCCUGGUAGUCCACGCUGUAAACGAUGAGUGCUAGCUGUUGGGACCUUAGGUCUCAGUGGCGCAGCUAACGCAUUAAGCACUCCGCCUGGGGAGUACGGUCGCAAGAUUAAAACUCAAAGGAAUUGACGGGGACCCGCACAAGCGGUGGAGCAUGUGGUUUAAUUCGAGGCAACGCGAAGAACCUUACCAGGACUUGACAUGUCCAGUUUGGAUUUCAGAAAUGAUUUCCUUCAGUUUGGCUGGCUGGAACACAGGUGCUGCAUGGCUGUCGUCAGCUCGUGUCGUGAGAUGUUGGGUUAAGUCCCGCAACGAGCGCAACCCUCAUCUUUAGUUGCUACCAUUUAGUUGAGCACUCUAAAGAAACUGCCGGUGAUAAGCCGGAGGAGGGUGGGGAUGACGUCAAGUCUUCAUGGCCCUUAUGUCCUGGGCUACACACGUGCUACAAUGGCAGUGACAAUGCGCCGCUACCUCGCGAGGGGAAGCUAAUCGCAAAAAGCUGUCUCAGUUCGGAUUGUACUCUGCAACUCGAGUACAUGAAGUUGGAAUCGCUAGUAAUCGCGCAUCAGCAUGGCGCGGUGAAUACGUUCCCGGGUCUUGUACACACCGCCCGUCACACCAUGGGAGUUGGUUCUACCUUAAGCUGCUGUGCUAACCGCAAGGAGGCAGGCAACCACGGUAGGGUCAGUGACUGGGGUGAAGUCGCAACAAGGUA
rnacentral:rRNA from 1 species